CGGACAUAUAGUGUUGAAACACCAACUCCCAUAUAAUCACAGAAGUUAAGCAACAUUGAACCUGGUCAGUACCUAGAUGGGUGACCACUUGGGAAGACCAGGUACUGUAUG